AAAAUUUCAACUUAACACUCUUCAGUGGGAAUUAGCUAGGUAAAAACAAAAGAUUUUGCAUCCUUUUUUAAAAAAGAAAAAAGGUGUAAAAGCAUAGAGCCCACUUUUUUAAUCCUGCCUCCCAGACUCAUUGUUUUCCCUCUUGUGCUGGGAUUCCCACCCACAAUCUUGCACAGACUAAGCACCAGGUCGAGCACUGAGCUAUACCCUAAGCCUUAAGCUUCUACUUAAAAAAUGAACUCAAAAUCUCUCUUAAUGUUUAAGAAGCAAGUAAUUAUCUGAAGUUUGAAUGAUGUCAAUUUUAACUAAAACAUUUCCCUUCUUGUCAUAAAGAAUGCAGAAGGCAGAGAACCAGCUACACCAGCUUUUCUAAAUGUCAAUGAAAACAGAGAUUAAAGUGCAGUUUACUCACAGACUUUCUUUAGGAGCUCACUAACGUCAGUGAACAUUUAGAAUACUCAGCAUUUGCUAUGUUGUGACAGACUCUCUAGGAAGUACUUCCUAAGGUCACACUCACAGCAAGUGAACAUCAUGUUGAUUGGUUGUUAGCUUUUUAAAUUGGAGAGUUUGAAGAUUUUCUCAAAAAUUAAUUAGUAACAGCCAACAAUAAGGGAAUAAUACAUUCCAGACAAGUUUCAGAAUUUUCAUUUCAAAACAUUAUGAAUUCAAAACCUUAACACUGCUGCUUAAUUUAACAUAAAAACGGUUUACUGAAGAAAAAAAACUUUUUUGACAGAGUACUUUAGUCCCUAAGGAUUCAGUUGAAAACACAGACCAGCCCUUGAACUUUAUCAAGAUAAAUCCCUGGCAUCCAUUAAUCGCCAGCGAGGAUCUUCAAAUUAGAUAAGAGCAGGAAUCUUGGCAUGGGAAUAAGCACAAACACCUUCCCUUUCCCCGAGACUGAAGCUGGCAGCCUUUCAGCAAGGGCUCACUCACGGAGCUGUUACUCUAAACUUCCCAGCUAUUGCUUGGGAGUUGAUAAUUCUUAAGAUAUGAGGAGAGUUCUGAUUUCUGGCUCAGCAUUCCUGAGAUAAAUACAUGAUCAGAGGGAUGCUUUGAAAUUCCCAAAGACACUCCAUUGCCCUAUGGCUGC
rnacentral:lncRNA from 1 species